rnacentral:tRNA from 1 species
GGCAAGAUAAGCUAUAUUUAGGCUAUUGGGCUCAUGCCCCAACAGAGGAUCUUCCUCUUGCCA